rnacentral:rRNA from 1 species
UACGGAGGAUGCAAGCGUUAUCCGGAUUUAUUGGGUUUAAAGGGUGCGUAGGCGGAUUGAUAAGUCAGUGGUGAAAUUCUACAGCUUAACUGUAGACUUGCCGUUGAUACUGUUAGUCUUGAGUGUGGUCAAGGUAGGCGGAAUGUGUAAUGUAGCGGUGAAAUGCUUAGAUAUUACACAGAACACCAAUUGCGUAGGCAGCUUACUGAGCCGACACUGACGCUGAGGCACGAAAGCGUGGGGAUCAAACAGGAUUAGA